GCACGCCGUGACGCCUGUCAAUCCAGGCCAAAA
rnacentral:sRNA from 1 species